AGCAUUUCUGUGUUGAUCAAAAUGCUGUCACCCAUGUUUUGUACCCAUCCGAAACCCUUUACAGCGUUUCCUUCUUAACUUUUUGCCUGACCACGACGUUGAUAACGCCGACAAUCGCCUCUCGUCGGCAUUUGCUGCUGCAGAGCUGGGAGAGCCGUGGGAUGCGGGAACGGAAUGUGCGGGGGCUGCGCUCGCUGCCUUUGUGCCCCGCACCCACCGCCUCUGCACCGCUCUGCACUGACAAAAACCCAACGGGAAUCAUUGGAAACCAACUCCCCUCUUCGAUUCCUUUCCCCAAAUCGUCACAAUAAUAAUAAUAAUGAUAAUAAUUACUAUUAUUAUUAUGAACGGCGCUGAAGGAAAACGCGGGCUCCGACUCGCGAAGCCUUAAGGAUCGUUGGCUGCUACGAUUCCCUUUUGUCUUUCCUCUUUCGAUGCACACCAACAGACGUCAAAUUGCUGCAGAUCAGGGAAGGAGAUCGGGCCAGGCCAACAAACCAUUUCAAACGAAACACUCAGCAACGCGCUUCCCUCGCUUUUAUAAAGGCAUUUAUUUCCUCUAUGAAAAUAAUGUACAAUAAAUAAUUUGCCAUUUGCUAUUAAAGGAUUUGAAUAAAUAAUCUACAUCUAAAACUUAAAAAGGAGGAACGAAAAUUCCUCUGUUCUUCUCGUUAUUAUUUCCUUAAGAAAUCGAAAAGUCUCAUUCUGAUUCCUGAGAAAGUCGCUUGAAGGGUUCGCAAUUGUUUUCUCUCGAGGGCGGUCAUCUCUGAUGCGCAUGGAAACUACUGGGUGCUUCCUUUAAAAUAAAUAAGGAAAAAGCCUAUCACUUAGCACCUAAUUUAUAUUUUAAAUGUAAAAAAGCUCUUUUGUACGAGCCUUCUAAAAUAAAUAGUGCGGCUGCGAUUCGGGUCCCUCAAAGUGAAGAGCUUUAAAAUGUCCGAUUGCUGAUUGAAAGGGGGAUGAUUUGGGUUUGUUUUUGGGGUGACCCCCUCCCGUCUGAAGAGCUGAAGAGGCUCGGGGUGGGGCAGAAAGGGACAAAGAAAAAAAAAGGAGAGAGAGACAAACGGGGACGCUAUUGGAAAUUGAAGUGCUGCAGAUCUAUGGUACAAAGUGCGCUGGUAAAAAAGUCCAGAUCUUCCUCCGAGAAAUGGAGGGGGCUCUCCAAAGAAUCCUGAAGAGCGGGGGAGAGCUGCAAGCAAGAUUCUGCCGAGAGGAUGCUGAGUUCCGGCAACCAAGGCGAGCCCUGGCUCUCGGGAAAGCUGAGAUCCGAGGGGGGGGGUCCGGGCCGAUCGGUGUCCCGAGGGCUGCGGGGCUGCUCGGGCUGCGCACCCCGGUACGGCCCCGGGCACGGCCCCAAUAAAGGGCUUUCCUCGGCCUCAUCCGUGGCUUCGCUGCCCUCAUCCAGCCCGGGGUAAGCGAUGUCCCCGUCGGGGGGAUCUUUGUAUUGUGUUUGCCUCUUGUGCUUCAUCCUGCGGUUCUGGAACCAUACUUUAACUUGUCGUUCGGUCAGAUCGAGCAAAGCAGCAAUUUCUACCCGACGGGGCCUGCAGAGGUAUUUGUUGAAGUGGAAUUCCUUCUCCAGCUCCAGGAGCUGUGUGUUGGUGUAAGCUGUCCGGAGCCGCCUAGAGCCGCUGCUGUCUGCCAACCCCUGCGUGUCUUAAACACACAAAACCUCACAUUGCGGGGAGGGAGCGGGGCCGGGGAGAGGAUGGAAGGGACGGAGCCGCCCCCCCCUCCCUCACCACGGGCAGAGCUCAGCGUGCCCCCACGCCAACACCCCCUCAGCCCCUCAUUAUACGAACCUGCAGGAGAUCCUGCGGCGGGGAUCGGCACCGAGGAAGAUGAUGGGGGGAAAGAAGAGGAAGAUGAGGAUGGAGCCUGGGUGAUUUUCUUGGACGAUUUCUUCUCCUUCAUCCAAGGGAAUUCCGCUGCCAAGGGGCCGGGCUGUGCCGGAGGCUGAGGCUGGAGCAGGCCAUGGGAUGCUCUUUUUUGGCUCCUCGGUCUUGCCUGGCUGCUGGAACAAGGAUUCAGGCUGAGGACGGUUUGCUCGAAAGGAGGAGGAAUUAAUGUCGAGUCCUUGAUUGAUGAAGUUUGAAAUGUCUCCAGGACAGCGGGAAGAGACGUCAGGCACUCUGCGAGCGAAGGCUGGCUAUUUAUAAACCCGAUCUCCCUCUCAAAUUCAAAAUUCAUGGCUUUUCCAGGGCCCAGGGUUUAAAAAGCGGGAGGGGGGGGAGGAAGGAGGAGGGAAAGAGAGGAAGAAAUCUAAGGGCCUCAGUUUUUAUGGCAGUGAUGAUGAUGGUUCUCGGGCUUUUUAUAAUUGUUAUAUUGCUGAUAAUACAGGCGUAUGGGGACCUUGCUCUAUUAAA